rnacentral:rRNA from 1 species
GUAGAGGAUGCUUUUGGCAAGGCGCCNUCCGAGUUCCCUGGAACGGGACGCCAUAGAGGGUGAGAGCCCCGUACAGGCGGACGCCGAGCCUCUGUAAAGCUCCUUCGACGAGUCGAGUAGUUUGGGAAUGCUGCUCAGAGCGGGAGGUACAUUUCUUCUAAAGCUAAAUACCGGCCAGAGACCGAUAGCGCACAAGUAGAGUGAUCGAAAGAUGAAAAGCACUUUGAAAAGAGAGUUAAAAAGCACGUGAAAUUGUUGAAAGGGAAGCGCCUGUGACCAGACUCGCGCCCGGCGGAUCAUCCGGCGUUCUCGCCGGUGCACUCCGCCGGGCUCGGGCCAGCAUCGGUUCUCGCGGGGGGAUAAAGGCUUCGGGGAUGUGGCUCCUCCGGGAGUGUUAUAGCCGGUUGCUCAAUGCCCUCGCGGGGACCGAGGACCGCGCAUUGCAAGGAUGGUGGCGUAAUG